CUCGAUUUUGUUUUCAAGAUUUUGGAUCAUUUUCACUAUCAUUAUUUGGAAUUCUUUAUCAGGAAAUGUUUUUCUCAAGAGUUCAACCCUCUCCUGGGACCAGAAAACAGUCUCCACCCUGCCAUGGGGUUGUAUAUUUGAUACAAAUGUACAGGAAUGAGGAAUUUUGAAGAAGCUGGAAUUUUACAUAACUCAAAGGUUAUAAAUUAUCAUCUGUAUUAUAAUUCCUUGACAUUUUCAGUGAACAUUCAGUAAGUCUCAUAGUAAGGAAUGCAAAUAUAGAAAUUAGGGACAGUAUUGUGCGCUUAAAGUGAGAACCAGAGUGAUGGUAGGAAGGUCAGUCACCAGGGAAAGGCAAGUCUGCUCAAGAAGCAAUGAUUUCAUUAAGGCCUCUAGCUACAAAUAAGGACAGAAGAGCUACACUGAAAUUAUUAGUUUGGUUUUCUUCUUUACUACUAUUUAUAAGAACAUAGAUUUUUUUCAAGAUUGGAAAACUUCAAUGCAACAUUUAAUUAUGUGUGGUAUCUAAGUAAAUUUUUUUUUUAAAUUUUAUUUUAAACUUUACAUAACUGUAUUAGUUUUGCCAAAUAUCAAAAUGAAUCCACCACAGGUAUACAUGUGUAAAUUUAUCCUCUUUUCCCCACUAGCAAUAUAUUUAAUUGGUGGCUCAGAUGGUAAAGAAUCCACUUGCAAUGAGGGAGACCUGGGUUCAGUUCCCAGGUUGGGAAGAUCCCUGGAGGAGGGCAUGGCAACUCACUCCAGUAUUCUUUCUUGGAGAAUCCCCAUGGGCAGAGGAGGCUGGUGAGGUACAGUCUAUGGGGUUACAAAGAGUUAGACAGGAUUGGGUAACUAAGCACAACAGAGCAAAUUAUGUUUAAUUACUUAGAAAUCCAAAGGGAUCCCAGAUUCUUGGAAAAGUUUAUCUGCCUUAAGACUGUCAUAAGCAAGAAUCUAGACUCCCAUGUACCCACAGUAAGAAAAGCUUUCUUAUCCUCAGGAUUUGCUAGCAGUCUGUUCACUUCUGGUAAAAUAUCUGACACUCCUUCCUACAACACUCAAAUUCUUUCCCUUAAUAUCUUCUGUGAUUAAUAAAGGAUUAAUGUAAUCUUUCCCUUAA